GUAGUAAAGUGCCUGCAUGUAAUACACCUGCAUGUAUUUUAUUUUGUGUAAUAUUACAUGCUUAUUUGAUCCCCAAUCCUUAAAAUAAAAACUAACACCCAUAACUACUUAAACGUGUAAUAUUUGCUGUACAUUCGAUACAAUAUUCAACGCAACCUUGUACACAAGUUUUACUGUCAAUUUUCGUGUAAAAUUAUCGACGAAUUCAUUUAGCCGACUUUGACAGAUCUCAUAAAAUCCCAGUGCCAUCAGUUUCCUUCUGUCAGGUGCAUCGCGAUCGUAUUUCGAGUUGCCCGAAAUGGUGAGUGAGAGCGGUGAGAGCUAAACACCCGCAGGAGUGAGCCUCAUACCCGGUUCUAAUCUGUCGGACAAAACACGACUGGUCUUCGGAGCGUCGAUCUGAACCGGCGGACUCGGUACGUGACAUCUAAACAGCCGCAGACAGCCGCUGACGGUCGUUGCCGGUGGAAAUGCCCAGAUUGUCAACUUACUCGCGGAAGCCAUUCAUCGACUCUUCCAAAGGAGUGAAUUCUCCCAACCUCCAGGCCGUGCAUCAUACCCGGUUCAAAUCUUCCGGACACAACACGAACGGGCUUCGGAGCGUCUUCCUGAAACCGGCUAACUCGGUACGUGACAGCUAAACACCUGCAGACGGACGCCAAAGAGUUUCAACCGCGAGACGGAGUAAGUUCUCCCAACCUCCAGGCCGUGCAUCAGUCCCGGUUCAAAUCUUUCGGACAUAACACGAACGGGCUUCGGAGCGUCCUCCUGAAACCGGCGAACUCGGUACGUGACAGCUAAACACCUGCAGACGGACGCCAAAGGUAAAUAUGAUCACCGACACCAAAACCCUCGCGAGGCCUUGCUCAGAACUGACAACUAAACAACCGCAGAAGUAAAUUCCCCCAACCUCCAGGUCGUGCAUCAUACCCGGUUCAAAUCUGCUGGACAAAACUUGACCGGGAAGAUGAGCUCCCGGUGGGCUUCCGACUAAGCUGCAACGUCGUCGGGAUGUGGAAUUUCCCCGGAAGCUGCACGCUCAUCUCCCCGAAGCAGUCCAUCGGCGCCGCAUGGUGUCGAACGAAGAUGAGUUCCCAGUGGGCUUCCGGCCAAGCUGCAACGUCGUCGGGAUGUGGAAUUUCCCCGGAAGCCGCACGCUCAUCUCCCCGAAGCAGUUCAUCGGCGCCGCAUGGUGUCGAAUGAAGGUUAGCUCCCGGUGGGCUUCCGGCCAAGCUGCAACGUCGUCGGGACGUGGACUUGCCCCGGAAGCUGCACGCUCGGCGUUGAAACGUAACAAAUCAUAAUUGCACCACUAUCGAAACAAGUUGGCCAUGUUGACUUCAAGGCGCGAAAUAGUCGGAAGCUGGACAUCUUCCCAAAGCAGUCCAUCGGCGCCGCAUGGUGUCGAAUGAAGGUUAGCUCGCGGUGGGCUUCCGGCCAAGCUGGAAAGUCGUCGAGAUGAGGACUUCGCGCCUCCCCGUCGGAGACUGCUCGAUCAAAAUCGGUAUCCAGGACGAGUGAAAAAGUGAAACUUUUUAACGACCUCUUAAGAAGAAAAAUGCUCAUUCAGUUGGAUUAAUGUCGGUGGGAAUAAAUUUCUUCGAAAUGCAUUGUAUUGUUGUGUUAAUAAAACUGUUUUUUUCAGCAUUUUAUUUUGCUUGUUUUUAUUUACAUUGACGACUUUGACAUGAUAACCAAUUCGAUACCUAUGCCUGGUUUCAAAAUAAGGAUUUGUGUAAUAUUACACGUUUUUUUUGUACAUACAUGUGUGUAAUUUUAAGUGUUUAUUUUGACCAAGGUGAUGUGCAUGCUUUUGCAUGCGAUUUUACCAUCGGAUUUUUU